AUUGAACGCUAGCGGGAUGCUUUACACAUGCAAGUCGAACGGCAGCGCGGACUUCGGUCUGGCGGCGAGUGGCGAACGGGUGAGUAAUGUAUCGGAACGUGCCCAGUAGCGGGGGAUAACUACGCGAAAGCGUAGCUAAUACCGCACACGCCCUACGGGGGAAAGCAGGGGAUCGUAAGACCUUUCACGAUGGGAGCGGCCAAUCUCGGAUUAUUUAGUUGGUGAGGUAACGGCCCACCAAGGCGGCGAUCCGCAGCUGGUUUGAGAGGACGACCAGCCACACUGUGACUGAGACACGCCCCAGACUCCUACGGGAGGCAGCAGUGGGGACUUUUGGACAAUGGGGGCAUCCCUGAUCCAGCCAUCCCGCGUGUGCGCUGAAGGCCUUCGGGUUGUAAAGCGCUUUUGGCAGGAAAGAAACGUCGCGGGCUAAUACCCCGUGGAACUGACGGUACCUGCAGAAUAAGCACCGGCUAACUACGUG
rnacentral:rRNA from 1 species